rnacentral:rRNA from 1 species
GACGAACGCUGGCGGCGUGCUUAACACAUGCAAGUCGAGCGGUAAGGCCCUUUCGGGGGUACACGAGCGGCGAACGGGUGAGUAACACGUGGGUGACCUGCCCUCAGCUCUGGGAUAAGCCCGGGAAACUGGGUCUAAUACUGGAUAUGACUCCACGGUGCAUGCCGUGGGGGUGGAAAGCCUUGUGCGGCUGAGGAUGGGCCCGCGGCCUAUCAGCUUGUUGGUGGGGUGAUGGCCUACCAAGGCGACGACGGGUAGCCGGCCUGAGAGGGCGACCGGCCACACUGGGACUGAGACACGGCCCAGACCUCCGUACGGGAGGCAGCAGGUGGGGAAUCUUGCGCAAGUGGGCGAAAGCCUGACGCAGCGACGCCGCGUGAGGG